AACAUAGGGGCAAGCGUUGUCCGGAAUUACUGGGCGUAAAGGGCGCGUAGGCGGCCUAUUAAGUCAGAUGUGAAAGGUUGGGGCUUAACCCUGAAAGUGCAUCUGAAACUAGUAGGCUUGAGUAUGGGAGAGGUAAGUGGAAUUCCUAGUGUAGCGGUGAAAUGCGUAGAUAUUAGGAGGAACACCAGUGGCGAAGGCGACUUGCUGGGCAGCAACUGACGCUGAGGCGCGAAAGCCAGGGGAGCAAACGGGAUUAGAUACCCGUGUAGUCCCU
rnacentral:rRNA from 1 species